AGGGAACUGAUUACUCAACCAAGGUGACUAAUGAUUUGUAAGCAGCGCAGUUUGGAAAGUGAUGUGUGUGCUCUCAUUCCACCCUAUUUAAGAGGGAGACAAACUCUGAGUUGUGCAUCUACUCUUUCUGCUUCUGAGAAGAGCAUUGUUUUAACCCUUUACAAUGCAGACCUUCCAGCUUGACACUGAGCGCCUCUGCCAGGCAGCUAAGCUGUACCAGCACACCAAGUCUGACUUUGGCCUGAAUGGCAUGAUCCAGCUUUCUGGUUCAUGUAAUAAUAUGUCACUAUCUGUACUGGGAUCGAUUGGAGGCUGUGCUAUUCUGAGAUUGGAAUUGUUGGAGGCUGCCCGGCUCCAUUCAUCUAAAGACAGCUCCAAGUCUGCCAUUUACAGCUUUCGUAACGCAAGCUCCCUUGGAAGAGAAUUUACUCAUGGUGGAGAACUCUUUGGCCCCAAAAUGGAAUCUGCCUCCCUGUCUUUUUAUGGCCAUCAUGGAGUGAAAUAUGUGGAGGCACAAUUUGUGCAUGACAGCAGCAGCAAGACUGUACAUACUGCUGCUAUGCAGCCCAUCACCAUACCACCUUCGUGUGCCUUUGAUGAUCGUGAGGCCAAUGGUAUAGUGACAUUGUCAACAAAAACUGCAGCGGCGCUGGUCAAGUGGUUGAAGCAGCAUACAAAAACCUGCCAGUCACCAGUUAAGGUUUCUAUCAGUGAAAUCUUGGGUGUGAUGGUUCUUUCAGUUGGAGAUGCUAGCAUGACUGUUGAUGUCACUCCGGUGAAUGUUUCAUCUGGCAAGAAGACACGGGGUGGGAAUAAGGCUAGUGACUCUGGGACUAUCUCUGCAGACGCAACGGUGCAUGUUAAUGGACAUUGUUUGAUUAGAUCUUUGAUUGUAUGUAAAGUUCCUGGGUGUACAACUCCAAGAGUCAAGUUUCACGCCUGUGGCAUAUUAGAGGUAGAUGGGGCCCCCGUUAAACAGGGCGAGUUGACACAGGUAAAAUUGUCAGUGGCCCUCCUGAACGUGGACUCUUCAACUGGCAGAGUUUUGAAGGAACCUGUGGUGACUGGAGCAAGUAAAGAUCGAGGGGCUUCAAAGUCAGAAGACGCGGACGGUAGCCCUCCAGUACCAGAUCAUCCCAAAGAAUCCCUCACUAGCGACUCUGAUUCCUCAGUUCCUGGGCCACGAAGUACUGACCUUUCCUCUCUUACCCACACCCCUUCAGAUAGAUUUUCGAGCGACCUUAGAUCAGGGUGUGGGGGGCAACAGUUCCUCAAGAGACCACCCCCUAAGAAAGACAGGGAACCCACCACUAAGCGCCCCAAGCUACAUUUUAACCACUUCCCAUAAAUGAAGAGUCAUUGGUCAGACGUGUUCCUCCCACUCAUUGUGGGAGGAAUGUCUGCUGUUCCCUUUAUCUGGUGUUUAAUUUUUAGAACCCUUUACCUACCAAUAGAAUGUGACUGGAGAUGCUGGAUUUUUGUAUAUGGAUCAAUGAUUUGGCACAUAACCAUGUUUAUGUCACUAUUGUUUAAACAUAAACAUGGGAUGAUUGGCUGGUUUAAGUUGUGUAGUGCAGUUGCCAUAUGUCUGAUUAUAGUUUUGGCUCUUUUAGAACAAUACUGCCCAUAUGAGAUGUACAUUGUUCCUGUUAUAUUCAUAAUAAAUAUAGUUUUGCUUUCCACAUGGGUUCCCAUGGCACUUAUUUCAACAUACAUGUGCAACAGAAUAUAUGCACGCCUCUUGGAACUGGGAUUUUUGGCUGCCAUAAUAGGUUAUUAUGUGAUGUUGCAAAUUGGGGCACAAGAGUCUCCUGCCUUCUGGAUUCCCAUACCAGUGUUGCAUAUUGGGGGAGUGUAUGCUCUUCUCCACUUUAGAACAAGGCCCUGCUUUUUGCACUCUGUUGAAAAAAGACAUAGUAUCUACUACUUUGGAAAUAAUAAGUAUACCGUCUACCCCUGCGAGACCAUUGUGAGGAUGUGCAGCCCUGAAAUUUCCCUGAUGAUUAUUUUGAUUAUGAUGCUGGCCAUUGGCUUCCCCAUCCUGGCAUAUUAUGUGAAAAUUGUUCAAGGUAUGCAAUACUUCUACAUGUUCCUGAUGCUGGGACCAAUGGUAGGGGGCCUAAUUUUUGACAGCAAGAUUGUGGGCACCUUCUUCAUGAUGUUGGCAUUGGUGACUAUGAUUUUUGCUGGAAUUGCACCUGUCUGGUUUCCUCUCAUGGCAGAAAGGACCUUUGUUAUAUCCCUGAUAUUAGCCAACUUUUCUGCUGGCUGCUUUCUGGAAUGUAUGCGUGUCAAGUUAAGGAGAGCCAUAAAUGGUGUCUAUUUUGUUUAUCUAGUAACUGUUUUAUACAAUCUGUUAGUGGCCCUUAUCAUGAUUGCUGUAAGCAUGUAAUUAAUAAAAGACAAAACAGAUAUGC
rnacentral:tmRNA from 1 species